ensembl:lncRNA
GACCACUUCUCAGCUUAUAACAACAGAGAGUCUAUUUUUAAAGAUCAGUGUGAAACAACUAGGAUAUUGAGAACUGGAGACAAGUUAAGCAGCAUCUUGAGAUGUGCCGUCAGAAACCUGAAACUGUCUUCCUGACUGCAGACAGGAAGAUGUUUUGAAGCCAAUCAAGGAGCUGUGGCAUUAUGUACACUGAUUGCAGCUGGGGAGGAUGCCAGAUUGAACAUCUGCUUCUGAUCGAAGUUGAAAACGGCAGUUGAUCUAUCAAGAAUCUGUAAAGCAGUUCAGAGGCUGGGGAAUACGUAGAUGAGAAAACUAAAGUUUAAUGAGUCCUCAUUAAGAAUUAUCUACACAAAAUCCAAUUAAAUGAUAUAACUAAAAGAAGACUUCCCUGGUGGCUCAGAUGGUAAAGCAUCUGCCUACAAUGUGGUAGACCAGAGUUCAGUCCCUGAGUAGGGAAGGUCUCCUGGUGAAGGAAAUGGCACCCCACUCCAGUAUUCUUGCCUGGAAAGUCCCAUGGACGGAAGAGCCUGGUAGGCCACAGUCCAUGGGAUCGCAAAGAGUCAGACACGACUGAG